AUUGAACGCUGGCGGCAGGCCUAACACAUGCAAGUCGAGCGGAUGAAGGGAGCUUGCUCCUGGAUUCAGCGGCGGACGGGUGAGUAAUGCCUAGGAAUCUGCCUGGUAGUGGGGGAUAACGUCCGGAAACGGGCGCUAAUACCGCAUACGUCCUGAGGGAGAAAGUGGGGGAUCUUCGGACCUCACGCUAUCAGAUGAGCCUAGGUCGGAUUAGCUAGUUGGUGGGGUAAAGGCCUACCAAGGCGACGAUCCGUAACUGGUCUGAGAGGAUGAUCAGUCACACUGGAACUGAGACACGGUCCAGACUCCUACGGGAGGCAGCAGUGGGGAAUAUUGGACAAUGGGCGAAAGCCUGAUCCAGCCAUGCCGCGUGUGUGAAGGAGGUCUUCGGAUUGUAAAGCACUUUAAGUUGGGAGGAAGGGCAGUAAGUUAAUACCUUGCUGUUUUGACGUUACCAACAGAAUAAGCACCGGCUAACUUCGUG
rnacentral:rRNA from 1 species